UACGGAGGGUGCAAGCGUUAUCCGGAUUUACUGGGUUUAAAGGGUGCGUAGGUGGGUCUGUAAGUCAGUGGUGAAAUCUCCGAGCUUAACUCGGAACUGCCAUUGAUACUAUAGGUCUUGAAUUAUCUGGAGGUGAGCGGAAUAUGUCAUGUAGCGGUGAAAUGCUUAGAUAUAACACAGAACACCGAUUGCGAAGGCAGCUUACUGGGAUACAACUGACGCUGAUGCACGAAAGCGUGGGGAUCAAACAGG
rnacentral:rRNA from 1 species